AAAAAAUCAAUAGGCCUGUAACUCAUUACUGUGUGCCCGCCUCAAUGAAGCAAAUGCUUUGUCACGCAUGACCCAUGGCGCACUUCCCAGAAGAAGAUCCACAACAGUGAGCAGAAGAGGAAGGUCAGCAAGAAGCGGCGGUCCAUCAGACCAUCUUCAGCCUUCACUCGGACCACUUUGUACGCUCGGAAAAACUGCCUAUCACCAGAUGGAUAGUUAAUUUACCUGUGAGGAAAGACAGAUCUGCUUUAGUUCCA